GACGAACGCUGGCGGCGUGCCUAAUACAUGCCAGUAGAACGCACAGUUUAUACCGUAGCUUGCUACACCAUAGACUGUGAGUUGCGAACGGGUGAGUAACGCGUAGGUAACCUGCCUGGUAGCGGGGGAUAACUAUUGGAAACGAUAGCUAAUACCGCAUCAUAUUGAUUAUUGCAUGAUAAUUGAUUGAAAGAUGCUAUUGCAUCACUACCAGAUGGACCUGCGUUGUAUUAGCUAGUAGGUGAGGUAACGGCUCACCUAGGCGACGAUACAUAGCCGACCUGAGAGGGUGAUCGGCCACACUGGGACUGAGACACGGCCCAGACUCCUACGGGAGGCAGCAGUAGGGAAUCUUCGGCAAUGGACGAAAGUCUGACCGAGCAACGCCGCGUGAGUGAAGAAGGUUUUCGGAUCGUAAAGCUCUGUUGUAAGAGAAGAACGGGUGUGAGAGUGGAAAGUUCACACUGUGACGGUAUCUUACCAGAAAGGGACGGCUAACUACGUG
rnacentral:rRNA from 1 species